GGAUUGGGAAGAGAGAAAAAAUAAGAGAAAAAUUAAAUUUUUUUUUCUCUUUUUUUCACAUCUUCAUCUCCUCUAAAUGUUCAUCUUCAAUCUUCAAAAGGUUCGAAAGAUUUGAAGAAUCCAGAUCAGUCAAGAAGAUGAUCUUCGCGCGAGUUAGUACUCCCGAAAAGACUGAUCAAAUUAGAGCUUCGGAUGGACCUUCUGCAG
rnacentral:lncRNA from 1 species